rnacentral:rRNA from 1 species
CCAGACUCCUACGGGAGGCAGCAGUGGGGAAUAUUGCACAAUGGGGGAAGCCCUGAUGCAGCGACGCCGCGUGAGUGAAGAAGUAUUUCGGUAUGUAAAGCUCUAUCAGCAGGGAAGAAAAUGACGGUACCUGAUUAAGAAGCCCCGGCUAACUACGUGCCAGCAGCCGCGGUAAUACGUAGGGGGCAAGCGUUAUCCGGAUUUACUGGGUGUAAAGGGAGCGUAGACGGUGAUGCAAGUCAGAAGUGAAAGCCCGGGGCUCAACUCCGGGACUGCUUUUGAAACUGUGUGACUGGAGUGCAGGAGAGGUAAGCGGAAUUCCUGGUGUAGCGGUGAAAUGCGUAGAUAUUAGGAGGAACACCAGUGGCGAAGGCGGCUUACUGGACUGUAACUGACGUUGAGGCUCGAAAGCGUGGGGAGCAAACAGGAUUAGAUACCCGAGUACC